rnacentral:rRNA from 1 species
GACAGAGGUGCCAAGCGUUAGGCGGAAUCACUGGGCUUAAAGGGCGCGUAGGCGGAUCAAAAAGUCAGGGGUGAAAUCCCACGGCUCAACCGUGGAAGUGCCUUUGAUACUGUUGAUCUCGAGGGAGGUAGGGGCGUGCGGAACUUCCGGUGGAGCGGUUAAAUGCGUAGAUAUCGGAAGGAACACCGGUGGCGAAAGCGGCGCGCUGGACCUCUUCUGACGCUGAGGCGCGAAAGCCAGGGGAGCAAACGGG